UACAGAGGGGGCAAGCGUUUGUUCGGAAUUACUGGGCGUAAAGGGCGCGUAGGCGGCCUGCUAAGUCGAACGUGAAAUCCCCGAGCUCAACUCGGGAACUGCGUCCGAUACUGGCGGGGCUUGAAUCCGGGAGAGGGAUGCGGAAUUCCAAGGUGUAGCGGUGAAAUGCGUAGAUAUCUGGAGGAACACCGGUGGCGGAGGCGGCAUCCUGGACCGGCAUUGACGCUGAGGCGCGAAAGCUAGGGGAGCAAACGGGG
rnacentral:rRNA from 1 species